rnacentral:rRNA from 1 species
AUUGAACGCUGGCGGCAUGCCUUACGCAUGCAAGUCGAACGGCAGCACGGACUUCGGUCUGGUGGCGAGUGGCGAACGGGUGAGUAAUGUAUCGGAACGUACCCUUCAGUGGGGGAUAACUAUCCGAAAGGAUAGCUAAUACCGCAUAUUCUCUGAGGAGGAAAGCGGGGGAUCGCAAGACCUCGCGCUGAUGGAGCGGCCGAUAUCAGAUUAGCUAGUUGGUGGGGUAAAGGCCUACCAAGGCGACGAUCCGUAGCGGGUCUGAGAGGAUGAUCCGCCACACUGGGACUGAGACACGGCCCAGACUCCUACGGGAGGCAGCAGUGGGGAAUUUUGGACAAUGGGGGCAACCCUGAUCCAGCCAUGCCGCGUGAGUAAAGAAGGCCUUCGGGUUGUAAAGCUCUUUCGGCCGGGAAGAAAUCGCGUGAGUUAAUACCUUGCGUGGAUGACGGUACCGGAAUAAGAAGCACCGGCUAACUACGUGCCAGCCGCCGCAGUAAGAC